rnacentral:rRNA from 1 species
AAUCAACGCUGGCGGCGUGCCUCAGACAUGCAAGUCGAACGGAUUAAAGCUCUCUUCGGAGAGUGUAUAGAGUGGCGCACGGGUGAGUAACACGUAAGUAAUCUACCUUUGAGUGGGGAAUAACCCGGGGAACCGAGCUAAUACCGCAUAAUGCAGCGGCACCGCAAGGUGACAGUUGUUAAAGGAGCAAUCCGCUUAAAGAGGAGCUUGCGGCAGAUUAGCUAGNGGUAAGGUAAUGCUUACAGGCUUCGAUCUGUAUCCGGCCUGAGAGGGCGUCGGACACACUGACACUGAAUAACGGGUCAGACUCCUACGGGAGGCAGCAGUCGGGAAUUUUGGGCAAUGGGCGAAAGCCUGACCCAGCGACGCCGCGUGAAGGAUGAAGUAAUUUCGGUAU